rnacentral:rRNA from 2 species
CAAGGCGCAUUGUAAUUUGAAGAUGGUAUUCUGAGUUAGACCUUUACCUCAGUUCCUUGGAACAGGACGCCAUAGAGGGUGAGAGCCCCGUGCGGUAUUGGCCCCUAUCUCGUGUAGUUUACCUUCAAAGAGUCGAGUUGUUUGGGAAUGCAGCUCUAAGUGGGUGGUAAAUUCCAUCUAAAGCUAAAUAUUGGCGAGAGACCGAUAGCGAACAAGUACUGUAAAGGAAAGAUGAAAAGAACUUUGAAAAGAGAGUGAAAAAGUACGUGAAAUUGUUGAAAGGGAAGGGAAUUAGACUAGACUUGGAUUUCUGUUAUCAGCAGUCUCUCGGGGCUGUGUACUAGCAGUUUUCUAGGCCAGGGUCUGUUUGGAGGCCAGGAUAAAACCCAA